rnacentral:rRNA from 1 species
AUUGAACGCUGGCGGCAUGCCUUACACAUGCAAGUCGAACGGCAGCACGGGUGCUUGCACCUGGUGGCGAGUGGCGAACGGGUGAGUAAUACAUCGGAACAUGUCCUGUAGUGGGGGAUAGCCCGGCGAAAGCCGGAUUAAUACCGCAUACGAUCCACGGAUGAAAGCGGGGGACCUUCGGGCCUCGCGCUAUAGGGUUGGCCGACGGCUGAUUAGCUAGUUGGUGGGGUAAAGGCCUACCAAGGCGACGAUCAGUAGCUGGUCUGAGAGGACGACCAGCCACACUGGGACUGAGACACGGCCCAGACUCCUACGGGAGGCAGCAGUGGGGAAUUUUGGACAAUGGGCGAAAGCCUGAUCCAGCAAUGCCGCGUGUGUGAAGAAGGCCUUCGGGUUGUAAAGCACUUUUGUCCGGAAAGAAAUCCUUGACUCUAAUACAGUCGGGGGAUGACGGUACCGGAAGAAUAAGCACCGGCUAACUACGUG